GAGUCGAGGGUACCCGAAGUCGGUAGUCUAACCGCAAGGAGGACGCCGCCGAAGGUAUGUUUUGUAAGGAGGGUGAAGUCGUAACAAGGUAGUCGUACCGGAAGGUGCGGCUGGAUCACCUCCUUUCUAAGAGAAAGGUUACAAAUGCACAGCAUUUUUGGCAGCUCAUUUGCCGCUGGCAAAUGAGGGUCAAGAUAUGCAGGUGCAUAAAGUGUCAGAUGUACAACACGGGCUCAUUUUCGAGUACGCCUUUUGCGCUUUUCUUUCCUCCCGUUUAUUUAUACGGGACUGUAGCUCAGUCGGUUAGAGCACU
rnacentral:misc_RNA from 1 species